GUGCCUAAUACAUGCAAGUCGAGCGAGCGGAACUAAACAGAUUUACUUCGGUAAAUGACGUUAGGAAAGCGAGCGGCGGAUGGGUGAGUAACACGUGGGGAAACCUGCCCCAUAGUCUGGGGAUACCACUUUGGGAGACAGGUGCUAAUACCCGGAUAAGAAAGCAGAUCGCAUGAUCAGCUUUAAAAAGGGCGGCGUAAAGCUGUCGCUAUGGGGAUGGCCCCGCGGUGCAUUAGCUAGUUGGUAAGGUAAAGGGCUUACCAAGGCGAUGAUGCAUAGCCCGAGUUGAGAGACUGAUCGGGCCACAUUGGGGACUGAGACACGGGCCCAAAACUCCUACGGGGAGGCAGCAGUAGGGAAUCUUCCACAAUGGACGCAAGUCUGAUGGAGCAACGCCGCGUGAGUGAAGAAGGUUUUCGGAUCGUAAAAGCUCUGUUGUUGGUGAAGAAGGAUAGAGGUAGUAACUGGCCUUUAUUUGACGGUAAUCAACCAGAAAGUCACGGCUAACUACGUGCCAGCAGCCGCGGUAAU
rnacentral:rRNA from 1 species